AAUUUUUACUUCUUCGGAAUAGAUUUUCGGAGAUGAUUUUCGAGAAAUAGAUAUGUAGCGCUUAAUUAUCGAUCGAUGAUGUUAUAGCGCUUUUUAUACGCCCAUCGAAACCGUUAACACCGAAUUUACAGACAUAAAUUUGCUUUAAAUAGUAAAAUAGACUUAAUUGCCGUGACGUAACUUUUACAUCCGGAUGCGAAUUAUCUCGGACAUCCCAAUUCCUGACAGACCAAUUUGGUGUCCUUGGAACCGCGUCUUUAAUCGCUUUCAGCGUAACUAGUUUACGUUUUAAUAAAACUUGAUUUAUUUAUAUAAAAUAUAAAAGUUUGGUAAGAUUUCGCGCGGUCUUUUACCAAUUUUAAAAACUGUUUUUUUUUUUUUUUUUUUUUUUUUUUGUCAACAGAUGACGCCACUUUCCACUCAGUAAGAGUACUAAGUGACGGGGCGAAACAAGCCCUUCCACAGGCUGCCCACCCCUGCGGAGGGGUCAGCCGGAUUGUGGAGGACGGGGAUCGACGGGCCGGGCCCGGACCCCAUGAUAAAUAUUUUCAAGGGGUGGGACCCGAGACUCGAAUCCGGGUCCUCCAGAGUGGAAAGCCGAAGCGUUUCCACGCGGCCAAUUCGAUUGACUUAAAUUAUCCAUACUUGUCUUCCUAAGAUUACGGUAACAGUAACCGUUAUAAUAUGCAAAAUUAUCAUCAGUGGUACAAAGUCAUGCUUUAUAUCUAAAAAUGUACGAUAGGGAAUCAUUAAGGCUUAUAAAGAUCUUGAGAUAGUUGCCCUAUAGGACUAUAGGCUCUGCUCCGCCAUAAGGUACUAUAGGAGUCUUACGAGUUAUAACUCGGCUUUAAUGAUUGCUGAGCCGAGAUGACGAAGUGCACGCCACUCCUGGGUUUACAUAACGAGAAAGACUAAGCCAGUCCAACUCGUCUGACCAGGAAGAAGAUUAUUCUCUCUCGAUCCCUUGCGUAGAAAGACGAGAAGUCGGUGUAAAUCGCCGCGAAUAACUGAUCAGGAAUAAUCAGAAAAGACAAUCCACUCAGAAGUGAAAUUCAACGGCGGUGAGCUUCGCUAUGUCAUUGGAGGAGCACCUGAAAGACAGCACGACGGCAGCAUGGGGUUGGCGGGCAGCCGGGUGCAGCUUCCAUCGAGUGCAGCUGCCGCGGCGGCUACGAGAAGGUUUCUUCGUGUAUCCUACGGAUACACGCAAGGAACUUUCUCGUAGCCACCGUAGCUCGCAAGGAACUUUCUCCGCCGUGGUGGCUGCACUCGAUGGAGGUUGUGCUUGGCUGUCCGUCAGCCUUAUGUUGCCGUCAGCUGCGAGAGAGUUCC
rnacentral:lncRNA from 1 species